ensembl:snoRNA Gm23860 small nucleolar RNA SNORA17
CCUGCCUCUCAAAGAGUUGCAGGAGUGGCCCCUGUGUUACAUGUAUAUCAGUAGGGAGCAGAGAGGAGAGAGGCUAUGUCUACACUCAAAGGUAGGACCUAGGAACAUCUCAAUGAUUAAUAGCCUAAUAUU